CCUACGGGUGGCAGCAGUGGGGGAUAUUGCACAAUGGGGGAAACCCUGAUGCAGCGACGCCGCGUGAGUGAAGAAGGAAUUCGUUAUGUAAAGCACUAUCAGCAGGGAAGAAAAUGACGGUAUCUGAGACCGAAGCAAUGGCUAACUACGUGCCAGCAGCCGCGGUAAUACGUAGGGGGCAAGCGUUAUCCGGUUUUACUGGGGGUAAAGGGAGCGUAGACGGCAGUGCAAGUCUGGAGUGAAAGGCGCGGGCUCAACCCCCGGACUGCUCUGGAAACUGUACAGCUGGAGUGCAGGAGAGGGAAGUAGAAUUCCAAGUGUAGCGGUGAAAUGCGUAGAGAUGAGGAGGAACACCAGUGGCGAAGGCGGCUUACUGGAC
rnacentral:rRNA from 1 species